rnacentral:rRNA from 1 species
UGGGGAAUUUUGGACAAUGGGGGCAACCCUGAUCCAGCAAUGCCGCGUGAGUGAAGAAGGCCUUCGGGUUGUAAAGCUCUUUUGUCAGGGAAGAAACGGUAGUAGCGAAUAACUACUACUAAUGACGGUACCUGAAGAAUAAGCACCGGCUAACUACGUGCCAGCAGCCGCGGUAAUACGUAGGGUGCAAGCGUUAAUCGGAAUUACUGGGCGUAAAGCGUGCGCAGGCGGUUGUGUAAGUCAGAUGUGAAAUCCCCGGGCUCAACCUGGGAAUUGCAUUUGAGACUGCACGGCUAGAGUGUGUCAGAGGGGGGUAGAAUUCCACGUGUAGCAGUGAAAUGCGUAGAUAUGUGGAGGAAUACCGAUGGCGAAGGCAGCCCCCUGGGAUAACACUGACGCUCAUGCACGAAAGCGUGGGGAGCAAACAGGAUUAGAUACCCCGGUAGUCCCUGAGCGGGCUGGCAAGGCGC